CUACGGGUGGCUGCAGUCGAGGAUUUUUCUCAAUGGGGGCAACCCUGAAGGAGCGACGCCGCGUGGAGGAUGAAGGGCUUCGGCUCGUAAACUCCUGUCACCGACGAACAAGACAUCCGGAUUAAUAAAUCGGAUGUUUGAUGGUAGUCGGAGAGGAAGGGGCGGCUGAACUCUGUGCCAGCAGCCGCGGUGAUACAGAGGCCCCAAGCGUUGUUCGGAUUUACUGGGCGUAAAGGGUGUGUAGGGGGUCGGGUAAGUUUGACGUGAAAUCCCGUUGCUCAACAACGGAACUGCGUCGAAUACUGGUCGGCGGGAGGUUCGGAGAUGAGGGCGGAAUUCUCGGUGUAGCGGUGAAAUGCGUAGAUAUCGAGAGGAACGCCGAUAGCGAAAGCAGCCCUCAAGACGAAAUCUGACCCUGAAACACGAAGGCCAGGGGAGCAAACGGGAUUAGAUACCCGCGUAGUC
rnacentral:rRNA from 1 species